CCACUAAGCAGAAGAGAUACCUGUGAUCAAGAAGGUGGUUCACCCAGUGUGGUGCUCAGCCAUUGCACUCUGGCUGUGCUGACCCCUUGUGAAUUUUUCAAAUGUGGGAAUCUCGAUUGCAUAAUUUUUUCCAAAUGUGGGAAUCUCGAUUGCAAAAUUUAUGG